ACGCUCGACACCUACGGUAGGCAGCAGUUAGGAAUAUUGGGCAAUGGAGGAAACUCUGACCCAGCAACGCCGCGUGAAGGAAGAAGGUUUUCGGAUUGUAAACUUCUGAUCUAGGGGAAGAAGGAAGUGACGGUACCCUAGGAGAAAGCCACGGCUAACUACGNGCCAGCAGCCGCGGUAAUCUGAGCGGGCUGGCAAGGC
rnacentral:rRNA from 1 species